ensembl:lncRNA
GGUUAUCUCUGCUCCUCUCCACAAAAAGCCACUUCCCUGAGCCAUUUGGCAGGAGGCUUUUUGUUCCAAAGAUGCCCUUAAGAUCGCCUCCAAUUUCUUGCCCACAAAUGUGUUGACAGAAACAUCCUUGAAUGCUUCUCUGUUAAGCACCAAGGACCAGUUGCUGAGGACAAAGCGAAUGCAAUGAUCUGCAACAACGCAAGGAAAGUUCUCUGGGCAAUGACCGCACAGAUUUGGGUAACUAGCAAUCGUCGUCAGUGUUUCAACCUGACCUGACCCACUUAGCAAGCCGGUCCCUGGCUAAGACCUACAGCAGAGUUUCAAGUCAGUCAUUGGUGCAGACUCACACCCAAACCAGAAAUUCCUGCUGAAGACCAGAACCACAAAUGUUGUUGCUGCUGCU